CUCUCUCUCUCUCUCUCUCUCUCUCUCUCCGCAUUAAUCAUUCUAAGUAUUACAACCGUUAAUAAUGUGUGUGUGUGUGUGUGUGUGUGUGUUAUCGGACCCACACACUAACACAUCAUACAACAGUAGGAGCUUCAAACACUUACAUAUGAACAUACAAACGAUACUUACUUAACAUAUAUUUCAUUAUUUUAAAGUGAUGGACAUUUUUUUGUUUACACUGAAUCACAUCUCUUAACAGAAUACAAAUCAAAAUAUUGUACGUGAUUUAUUCCUAUAACCUACGACUAGUGCAAUGACGGUUUGAAGACGAAAGGAGCGAUGUUUAAAUAGUUUGGGGUCUUUUUUUCUGCACCAACAAGGAAAAGGUAGUGAGGUAUGAGAGCUUUCUGACGCGUAACAAGAAGCCAGAUAGAUAACAUUUUUUUUUUUUACAACAAAGUAGACAGCUCAAGGGCACAAAAAAAGAAAACAAUGAUAAAAAAAAAAAAGCCCGCUACUUGCUGCUCCUACAAAAAAAAUCAAAAGAGGUGGCCGAAAGAGAGGUUAAUUCCGGGAUGAGAGGUAAGAACAUUAACAAUCAGGUUCAAAACGUCAGGUAAAAACAUCAACAAUUAGGUUAAAACGUUAGGUAAGAAUGUCAACUUAUAGCUCGGUUUGCGCUUCUCUGCACCCACACUGAAGGAAGCAGAGGAAGGACAACUUAACACUUAACAAAACACUGGGAAGAAGGCGUUUGUAAGAGCAUCAACUUAAAGGUUUGUGCGUUUAUCUGCAUUACUACUGAGAGAAGGAAAUAUUGGACAGCUUGAUAACACGUAGCACAAUAUUGGAAAGACGCCAGGUAAAAACACACAACUUCCAUAAAAGCUUCAGCUCUUCUUUGAAACCUCUAAACCGUGAGGAGGAGGAGGAGGAGGAGGAGGUGGAAGAGGAGGAAAAGUUAGAACAAAUAUUAAACAGGUAACACAACAUUGGAAUUAAGAUUAAUGCCUCAGAUCUUUUUUGAGACUUGAGAUCGUGAGAAGGAGGUGAGGAAGAACAGGUACAUUUAACAGGUAACAAAACACUGGGAUGAAGACCUUAGAUAACAACAGUAUAAAAUCGGUAUUCCAUCUCUUUUUAAACUUCAGAUCGUGAGGAGGUGAGGAAGAACAGAUGCUUUUAACAGGUAACAAAACAAUGGAAUGAAGACGUGUACAGAGAACAUCUAAUUAAAUACACCCAGUAGAUUGCUUAUACGAGGCCUUGUUUUGUUGUUUUGUUGUUGAUUCCACUUGAUUCCACUCUCAGCCAGGUCUCACGCACACGCCAGCCACCCAAAGCAUCCCUCGCCCGCAGGAAACGCCCGUAACGCAGGCUAACACAGCGGCCGCGGCUUCCCUCUCCGCCCGCCCGCCAGGAAGCAGCCGAGAAGAAAAAUAAUUCCUCCCUCCUGAUCCUUGGC